AUUGAACGCUGGCGGCAGGCCUAACACAUGCAAGUCGAGCGGAUGAAGGGAGCUUGCUCAUGGAUUCAGCGGCGGACGGGUGAGUAAUGCCUAGGAAUCUGCCUGGUAGUGGGGGAUAACGUCCGGAAACGGGCGCUAAUACCGCAUACGUCCUGAGGGAGAAAGUGGGGGAUCUUCGGACCUCACGCUAUCAGAUGAGCCUAGGUCGGAUUAGCUAGUUGGUGGGGUAAAGGCCUACCAAGGCGACGAUCCGUAACUGGUCUGAGAGGAUGAUCAGUCACACUGGAACUGAGACACGGUCCAGACUCCUACGGGAGGCAGCAGUGGGGAAUAUUGGACAAUGGGCGAAAGCCUGAUCCAGCCAUGCCGCGUGUGUGAAGAAGGUCUUCGGAUUUUAAAGCACUUUAAGUUGGGAGGAAGGGCAGUAAGUUAAUACCUUGCUGUUUUGACGUUACCAACAGAAUAAGCACCGGCUAACUUCGUG
rnacentral:rRNA from 1 species